GGACACAGCAUGGACAUGAGGGCCCCCGCUCAGCUCCUGGGGCUCCUGCUGCUCUGGCUCCCAGGUUCCCAAUGUGACAUCCAGGUGACCCAGUCUCCAUCGUUUCAUUCUGCAUCCAUAGGAGACACUGUCAGCAUCAGGUGCAAUGCCAGUCAGAGCAUAGGUAGUGAUUUAGCCUGGUAUCAACAGAAACCAGGGAAAGCUCCCAAACUCCUGAUCUAUUAUGCAAGCAGUUUGGCAUCUGGGAUCCCACAGAGGUUCAGUGGCAGUGGAUCUGGGACAGAUUUCACUCUCACCAUCAGCAGUGUGGAGGCUGAAGAUGUUGGAACUUAUUACUGUCAGCAGUAUGAUAGUACACCGUAUACUUUCGGCGGCGGGACCAAGCUGGAAAUCAAACGGACUGUGGCUCAGCCAACUGUCUCCAUCUCCCCACCAUCAAGUGAGGAGUUGACUUCUGGAAGUGCCACAAUUGUGUGCUUUAUUAAUAACUUCUAUCCAAAAAAUAUCAAUGUCAAGUGGAAGGUGGAUGGCGCUGAAAGUCAAAAAGUCCCUCAGAACAGCUUCACAGAGCAGGACAGCAAGGACAGCACCUACAGCCUCAGCAGCACCCUGACACUGCCCACCACAGAGUACAAUCAGCAUAACGUCUUCACCUGCGAGGUCUCCCAAGAGGGGGGCCAACCCAUCACCAAGAGCUUCAACAAGAAUGAGUGUUAAAGCCCCGGGCCCAACAGGCACCAUGUCUGCCCCUUGGGCCCACCCAGCCUCAAGCUUCCUCCUCAGACCCUUAGCCCUUUCCCAGAGGGACCUACCCUGUCUCUAUCUCUGUCCUCCAGCCCCUCUCCCCACCUCCCCACCUCCCCCUCCUUAGCUUUAAUCAUGCUGAUACUUGGGGGAAACGAUGAAUAAAAUGAAUCUUUGCACCUGAGAA